CCCUCUUGUGGCUGCCCUCUUCUCUCUGUGUCCUACUACAGAGUUCAGAAAAGAGGUCCAAGUGUGUGCUUGGCUGCCUGUGGCCCAGAAUGCAGCCUUGUCUGCCUUCCAGGCGGCAGGUGCACUCAAGCUGGACUUGCAGGGAUCUGGUUACAGCUUUUCCUCUGCCCAGGUAUUUACCCUGCUCCCGAUGGCAAAAAAGGGUUUAAAAGUUUUUUUUCCCUCCCCUUCCAGGUAUAAGUCGGAUGUGUGGCCAGUCUUUCUUUCUCCGAACACCAAGGAAGGAGCUUGUAAAAAUUGUGUGUGUGCGCGCGCGCACCCACACCCUUUGCUGGACGCGCUUCGCCAACCUUCUCUCUGCACGCGCUCCUGGGAAACUCUCUUUUCAUAGUAAACUCAGUAACUCGCGGCACGUCUCCUUCCCCAUCUGCCUUCAGGAUCUGAAAUGUCCUAGGUUGGACCCACCUUUUCUGUUGCAACAGAUCCAGAGGAAUCCCACUAGUCCUGCCAUCACAGAAAGAGGGGUUAUGGAUCCCUUCCCAGUUUGGAUUGCAAGACCAAAGCCAGCCAGGUAAAUGUUGCCCCCUAGGAAACAAACCGUAGUUUUGACACUGUAGGAGUGAAUGGCAUCGUUUUAAUAGGAAAAGCCAACAUAGAUUGAGGUGGGACUUCAUUUGCUCAUGCAUUCAGCUGACUUCAGCCAUUGGGGCUUUCAGAACUACCGUGAUCAGUAAAGCCCCGCCUUGUGUUUUGAUUUAAGACUCUUGAGCUUUGGGCUGUUCCAUGGU